GGGGAAGGGCUGUAGCUCAGUGGUAGAGUGUCUGCUUUGCAUGAAGGACCCCACCCCAAGAUCAAUCCCUGGCUUCUCCA